rnacentral:rRNA from 1 species
GUGGGGAAUAUUGGACAAUGGGGGGAACCCUGAUCCAGCCAUGCCGCGUGUGUGAAGAAGGCCUUUUGGUUGUAAAGCACUUUAAGCGAGGAGGAGGCUACCGAGAUUAAUACUCUUGGAUAGUGGACGUUACUCGCAGAAUAAGCACCGGCUAACUCUGUGCCAGCAGCCGCGGUAAUACAGAGGGUGCAAGCGUUAAUCGGAUUUACUGGGCGUAAAGCGAGCGUAGGUGGCUAAUUAAGUCAAAUGUGAAAUCCCCGAGCUUAACUUGGGAAUUGCAUUCGAUACUGGUUAGCUAGAGUAUGGGAGAGGAUGGUAGAAUUCCAGGUGUAGCGGUGAAAUGCGUAGAGAUCUGGAGGAAUACCGAUGGCGAAGGCAGCCAUCUGGCCUAAUACUGACACUGAGGUGCGAAAGCAUGGGGAGCAAACAGGAUUAGAUACCCGUGUAGUCC